rnacentral:tRNA from 1 species
GGCAGCGUGGCUCAGCGGAAAGAGCCUCGUGCUUCGGAGUCAGAGGUCAUGGGUUCGACUCCCAGCUCUGCCA